GAUGAACGCUGGCGGCGUGCCUAAUACAUGCAAGUCGAGCGAACAGAUGAGGAGCUUGCUCCUCUGACGUUAGCGGCGGACGGGUGAGUAACACGUGGAUAACCUACCUAUAAGACUGGGAUAACUUCGGGAAACCGGAGCUAAUACCGGAUAAUAUAUUGAACCGCAUGGUUCAAUAGUGAAAGACGGUUUUGCUGUCACUUAUAGAUGGAUCCGCGCCGCAUUAGCUAGUUGGUAAGGUAACGGCUUACCAAGGCAACGAUGCGUAGCCGACCUGAGAGGGUGAUCGGCCACACUGGAACUGAGACACGGUCCAGACUCCUACGGGAGGCAGCAGUAGGGAAUCUUCCGCAAUGGGCGAAAGCCUGACGGAGCAACGCCGCGUGAGUUAUGAAGGUCUUCGGAUCGUAAAACUCUGUUAUUAGGGAAGAACAAAUGUGUAAGUAACUAUGCACGUCUUGACGGUACCUAAUCAGAAAGCCACGGCUAACUACGUG
rnacentral:rRNA from 1 species